rnacentral:lncRNA from 1 species
GAUGCUAGAUCCUGCUGCCAAAAUUCUGAGCCCAAGUGCUGUAACACUCAGAAGAUACCGCUUUUCUCCUCUGCUGCAGAGUGAGUAUAAUGAACAUGCUUGUUGAGGAACAGCAUAUGGAGGCUGAUAGAGGGAGGAGAAUGAGAUUAUCCUGAAGUGAUGAGGAAAGGCAAACCCAGCAUAUAAAUUGAGUGAAGCUAAUGAAACCACUAAAAUGUAAUCACUGCCUAGGGAGGUUUUACUAAGGAAUGAAGGGAGAAAUAGCUUGUGGCCUUGCUAGAUCAGUGGUAAUAUGGGAACCAUGAACACAUCAUCUAGCAAAAAACCUUUGAAUCCUAUACUGUGGCAGUUUUCUACGGUCUUGUCUUUCCUGUGUACUUUGAACCCAGCCCAGCUCAUAUCCGGAUGCCUUUCCGAGAAUUGCAGGGAUGUCGGUGAGCUUCCACUCAGCCCUCAGAGGCGUCCAAGACCAUYGCUUCUGCGAUCACAGCACUGCAACCCUCAUCAGCAGCGCUGUCACCGCACGGAGCAGCUACCGGCGACUCGACCCAGACCUGUGGCUGCCCGGCAGCAUCGUCCCCAGUGCAGAAUGCUUCGCACGUGUAAUUURUAAAGCUUAAAACUAUCAGCAAUGUGUCAGUCACAUAAAACUGUCUGAAAGCAAUCACAGAGAUUUCUUAGUUCGUUCACUGAAGGAUUUUUUUACUGCUGGGUAUCAAGAAAUAUGUUACUUCAGCUAUUUAACGAGUGAGCCUACRCGUUACGCAGCACCUUGUGCCGGAUAUAUGCCCGGCUCCCGCUGCGCAGCCGGGGAAGCGGCGCGCUGGUUGCUGUGGCGACGGCGAGCUCCCGGGGAUGCCUGCACAGGGCGCUCCGAGCCGGACCCCCGCACGCAAUGAGACGCCAGAGCCCGCCUGCACGCACUGCAUCCCAGCAUGCCUUCUGCAAAACCAAAACGUCUGCAGCGAGCCACCUGCAAAUGUAAUCAUUGCGUUUCUCACUAAAAAAUUAAAUAAAAUCGAUUCUCUUGGUGGAUACCUUUUAUCU